rnacentral:rRNA from 1 species
GACGAACGCUGGCGGUGUGCUUAAUACAUGCAAGUCGAACGUGAAGCUAACUUCGGUUAGUGGAAAGUGGCGGACGGGUGAGUAACACGUAGGUAAUCUGCCUUAAGGUGGGGGACAACGUUGGGAAACUGACGCUAAUACCCCAUAUGUGGUGAGUUGAAAUACUCAUUAUGAAAGCUUUAGUGCCUUAAGAUGAGCCUGCGGCUGAUUAGUUUGUUGGUGAGGUAAUGGCUUACCAAGACUAUGAUCAGUAGCUGGUCUGAGAGGAUGAUCAGCCACAAUGGGACUGAGACACGGCCCAUACUCCUACGGGUGGCAG